UGGGGAAUAUUGCACAAUGGGCGCAAGCCUGAUGCAGCCAUGCCGCGUGUAUGAAGAAGGCCUUCGGGUUGUAAAGUACUUUCAGCGGGGAGGAAGGGAGUAAAGUUAAUACCUUUGCUCAUUGACGUUACCCGCAGAAGAAGCACCGGCUAACUCCGUGCCAGCAGCCGCGGUAAUACGGAGGGUGCAAGCGUUAAUCAGAAUUACUGGGCGUAAAGCGCACGCAGGCGGUUUGUUAAGUCAGAUGUGAAAUCCCCGGGCUCAACCUGGGAACUGCAUCUGAUACUGGCAAGCUUGAGUCUAGUAGAGGGGGGUAGAAUUCCAGGUGUAGCGGUGAAAUGCGUAGAGAUCUGGAGGAAUACCGGUGGCGAAGGCGGCCCCCUGGACGAAGACUGACGCUCAGGUGCGAAAGCGUGGGGAGCAAACAGG
rnacentral:rRNA from 1 species